rnacentral:rRNA from 1 species
UGAGGAAUAUUGGUCAAUGGACGCAAGUCUGAACCAGCCAUGCCGCGUGCAGGAUGAAGGUGCUAUGCAUUGUAAACUGCUUUUGUACGAGGGUAAAUGCAGGUACGUGUACCUGUUUGAAAGUAUCGUACGAAUAAGGGUCGGCUAACUCCGUGCCAGCAGCCGCGGUAAUACGGAGGACCCGAGCGUUAUCCGGAUUUAUUGGGUUUAAAGGGUGCGUAGGCGGAUUAGUAAGUUAGAGGUGAAAGCUCGAUGCUCAACAUCGAAAUUGCCUCUGAUACUGUUAGUCUAGAGUAUAGUUGCGGAAGGCGGAAUGUGUGGUGUAGCGGUGAAAUGCUUAGAUAUCACACAGAACACCGAUUGCGAAGGCAGCUUUCCAAGCUAUUACUGACGCUGAUGCACGAAAGCGUGGGGAGCGAACA